rnacentral:rRNA from 1 species
GAAGGACGUGCUAAUCUGCGAUAAGCGCCGGUAAGGUGAUAUGAACCGUUAUAACCGGCGAUUUCCGAAUGGGGAAACCCAGUGUGACUCGUCACACUAUCAUUAACUGAAUCCAUAGGUUAAUGAGGCGAACCGGGGGAACUGAAACAUCUAAGUACCCCGAGGAAAAGAAAUCAACCGAGAUUCCCCCAGUAGCGGCGAGCGAACGGGGAGGAGCCCAGAGCCUGAAUCAGCAUGUGUGUUAGUGGAAGCGUCUGGAAAGGCGCGCGAUACAGGGUGACAGCCCCGUACACAAAAGCGCAUGUGCUGUGAGCUCGAUGAGUAGGGCGGGACACGUGGUAUCCUGUCUGAAUAUGGGGGGACCAUCCUCCAAGGCUAAAUACUCCUGACUGACCGAUAGUGAACCAGUACCGUGAGGGAAAGGCGAAAAGAACCCCGGCGAGGGGAGUGAAAAAGAACCUGAAACCGUGUACGUACAAGCAGUGGGAGCACCCUUUGGGGUGUGACUGCGUACCUUUUGUAUAAUGGGUCAGCGACUUAUAUUCUGUAGCAAGGUUAACCGAAUAGGGGAGCCGGAGGGAAACCGAGUCUUAAUUGGGCGUUAAGUUGCAGGGUAUAGACCCGAAACCCGGUGAUCUAGCCAUGGGCAGGUUGAAGGUUGGGUAACACUAACUGGAGGACCGAACCGACUAAUGUUGAAAAAUUAGCGGAUGACCUGUGGCUGGGGGUGAAAGGCCAAUCAAACCGGGAGAUAGCUGGUUCUCCCCGAAAGCUAUUUAGGUAGCGCCUCGUGAAUUCAUCUCCGGGGGUAGAGCACUGUUUCGGCUAGGGGGCCAUCCCGGCUUACCAACCCGAUGCAAACUGCGAAUACCGGAGAAUGUUAUCACGGGAGACACACGGCGGGUGCUAACGUCCGUCGUGAAGAGGGAAACAACCCAGACCGCCAGCUAAGGUCCCAAAGUCAUGGUUAAGUGGGAAACGAUGUGGGAAGGCCCAGACAGCCAGGAUGUUGGCUUAGAAGCAGCCAUCAUUUAAAGAAAGCGUAAUAGCUCACUGGUCGAGUCGGCCUGCGCGGAAGAUGUAACGGGGCUAAACCAUGCACCGAAGCUGCGGCAGCGACACUCAGGUGUUGUUGGGUAGGGGAGCGUUCUGUAAGCCUGUGAAGGUGGCCUGUGAGGGUUGCUGGAGGUAUCAGAAGUGCGAAUGCUGACAUAAGUAACGAUAAAGCGGGUGAAAAGCCCGCUCGCCGGAAGACCAAGGGUUCCUGUCCAACGUUAAUCGGGGCAGGGUGAGUCGACCCCUAAGGCGAGGCCGAAAGGCGUAGUCGAUGGGAAACGGGUUAAUAUUCCCGUACUUGGUGUUACUGCGAAGGGGGGACGGAGAAGGCUAUGUUGGCCGGGCGACGGUUGUCCCGGUUUAAGCGUGUAGGCUGGUUUUCCAGGCAAAUCCGGAAAAUCAAGGCUGAGGCGUGACGACGAGGCACUACGGUGCUGAAGCAACAAAUGCCCUGCUUCCAGGAAAAGCCUCUAAGCAUCAGGUAACAUCAAAUCGUACCCCAAACCGACACAGGUGGUCAGGUAGAGAAUACCAAGGCGCUUGAGAGAACUCGGGUGAAGGAACUAGGCAAAAUGGUGCCGUAACUUCGGGAGAAGGCACGCUGACAUGUAGGUGAAGUGAUUUACUCAUGGAGCUGAAGUCAGUCGAAGAUACCAGCUGGCUGCAACUGUUUAUUAAAAACACAGCACUGUGCAAACACGAAAGUGGACGUAUACGGUGUGACGCCUGCCCGGUGCCGGAAGGUUAAUUGAUGGGGUCAGCGCAAGCGAAGCUCCUGAUCGAAGCCCCGGUAAACGGCGGCCGUAACUAUAACGGUCCUAAGGUAGCGAAAUUCCUUGUCGGGUAAGUUCCGACCUGCACGAAUGGCGUAAUGAUGGCCAGGCUGUCUCCACCCGAGACUCAGUGAAAUUGAACUCGCUGUGAAGAUGCAGUGUACCCGCGGCAAGACGGAAAGACCCCGUGAACCUUUACUAUAGCUUGACACUGAACAUUGAGCCUUGAUGUGUAGGAUAGGUGGGAGGCUUUGAAGUGUGGACGCCAGUCUGCAUGGAGCCGACCUUGAAAUACCACCCUUUAAUGUUUGAUGUUCUAACGUGGACCCGUAAUCCGGGUUGCGGACAGUGUCUGGUGGGUAGUUUGACUGGGGCGGUCUCCUCCUAAAGAGUAACGGAGGAGCACGAAGGUUGGCUAAUCCUGGUCGGACAUCAGGAGGUUAGUGCAAUGGCAUAAGCCAGCUUGACUGCGAGCGUGACGGCGCGAGCAGGUGCGAAAGCAGGUCAUAGUGAUCCGGUGGUUCUGAAUGGAAGGGCCAUCGCUCAACGGAUAAAAGGUACUCCGGGGAUAACAGGCUGAUACCGCCCAAGAGUUCAUAUCGACGGCGGUGUUUGGCACCUCGAUGUCGGCUCAUCACAUCCUGGGGCUGAAGUAGGUCCCAAGGGUAUGGCUGUUCGCCAUUUAAAGUGGUACGCGAGCUGGGUUUAGAACGUCGUGAGACAGUUCGGUCCCUAUCUGCCGUGGGCGCUGGAGAACUGAGGGGGGCUGCUCCUAGUACGAGAGGACCGGAGUGGACGCAUCACUGGUGUUCGGGUUGUCAUGCCAAUGGCACUGCCCGGUAG